rnacentral:rRNA from 1 species
UACAGAGACUGCAAGCGUUAUUCGGAUUCACUGGGCGUAAAGGGUGCGCAGGCGGUUGUGUGUGUCAGGUGUGAAAGCCCGGGGCUUAACCCCGGAAUUGCGCCUGAAACUACAUGACUAGAGCAUUGGAGAGGGUAGCGGAAUUCACGGUGUAGCGGUGAAAUGCGCAGAUAUCAGGAAGAACACCCGUGGCGAAGGCGGCUCUCUGGGACGGUACUGACGCUGAGACGCGAAAGCGUGGGGAGCGAACAGG